GAAUCCGCCAAGGAGUGUGUAACAACUCACCUGCCGAAUGAAUUAGCCCUGAAAAUGGAUGGCGCUGAAGCGGGCAGCCGACACCGCGCCGUUCCGGCGAGACGAUGCCGGAAUGAGUAGGAGGGCGUGGCGGUCAGUGAAGCAGGCGAGGGUGCAAACCCCGCUGAAACGGCCGCUAGUGAAGAUCUUGGUGGUAGUAGCAAAUAUUCAAGCGAGAUCCUUGAAGGGCGAAGCGGGGAAGGGUUCCACGCCAACAUUGAUUGGGCGUGGGUGAGUCGUCCCUAAGCCGAGUGGCAAUUGCUAAGUAGCGGCGAAAGGGAAGCGGGUUAAAAUUCCCGCACACAGAUAUGGAGGCGGCGACGCAAGCAGAGGCGAAUACGCUGGCGAGGGCGCCGGGCAGAGUUGUCUUUUCUGUUUGACCGGCAUCGAGCUGUGUGGAAUCCGCUUAUCGGGAGAAACACGCUCGGGUAGGGGCAGAGCGUCAGGUCUUUUCUGGCGUCCGGCUCGCCCUCGACGGCCCUUGAAAAUUCGUCUGCGACUGCAAAUUUCAUGCUGUGACGUACCGAUAACCGCAUCAGGUCCCCAAGGUGAACAGCCUCUGCUCAAUAUGAACAAUGCAGGUAAGGGAAGUCGGCA
rnacentral:rRNA from 1 species